AGCCGCCGCGGUAAUACCAGCGGUCCAAGUCGCAACCAUUUUUAUUGGGUCUAAAACAUCCGUAGCUUGCUUGGUAAGUUCCUUGUGAAAUCCUGUAUCUCAAAUACAGGGCGCGCAAGGAGUACUGCCUCGCUAGAGACUGGAAGACGUAACGAGUACGUUCUAAGUAGUGGUAAAAUAUGUUAAUCUAGAACGGACUAACAACAGCGAAGGCACGUUACGAGGACAGUUCUGACAGUAAGGGAUGAAGGCUAGGGGCGCAAAACGGAUUAGAUACCCGUGUAGUCCUAGCAGUAAACACUGCACACUAAACAUCAGUAUCUCUUCGAGAGGUAUUGGUGCUGAAGGGAAGCCGAAGAGUGUGCUACCUGGGAAGUAUAGUCGCAAGGCCGAAACUUAAAGGAAUUGGCGGGGAGACACUACAACGAGUGACGCGUGCGGUUCAAUUAGAUUCUACACCGUGAACCUCACCAGGAGCGACAGCAGAAUGAAGGUCAGUCUAAAGGGCUUACCCGACACGCUGAGCGGAGGUGCAUGGCCAACGUCAGCCUGUGCCGUGAGGUGACCUGUUAAAUCAGGUAACAGGCAAGACCCAUAUCUCUAUUUACUAAGCGUACCAUAGAGAGAUUGCCUUGGUAACGAGGAUGAAAGUCUGGGCUACGUUAGGUGAGUACACCCCUAAUCCCCUGGGCGACACGCGCGCGUCAAUGGUGAAUACAAUGGGAUGCGACACCGAAAGGUGAAGCCAAUCUCUUAAAGUUCAUCUUAGUUUAGAUCGAGGUUUGUAACUCAGCCUCGUGACACUGGAAUUCGUAGUAAUCGGAUGUUAUCAACGUCCGGUGAAUAUGUCACUGUCUCU
rnacentral:rRNA from 1 species